AUUGAACGCUGGCGGCAUGCCUUACACAUGCAAGUCGAACGGCAGCACGGGGGCAACCCUGGUGGCGAGUGGCGAACGGGUGAGUAACAUAUCGGAACAUACCCUAGAGUGGGGGAUAACGUAGCGAAAGUUACGCUAAUACCGCAUACGAUCUAAGGAUGAAAGUGGGGGAUCUUCGGACCUCAUGCUCAUGGAGUGGCCGAUAUCUGAUUAGCUAGUUGGUGAGGUAAAGGCUCACCAAGGCGACGAUCAGUAGCUGGUUUGAGAGAACGACCAGCCACACUGGAACUGAGACACGGUCCAGACUCCUACGGGAGGCAGCAGUGGGGAAUUUUGGGACAAUGGGGGGCAACCCUGAUCCAGCAAUGCCGCGUGAGUGAAGAAGGCCUUCGGGUUGUAAAGGCUCUUUUGUCUAGGGAUGAUAAUGACAGUACCUGGAGAAUAAGCUCCGGCUAACUCCGUGCCAGCAGCCGCGGUAAU
rnacentral:rRNA from 1 species